rnacentral:rRNA from 1 species
UGGGGAAUUUUGGACAAUGGGCGAAAGCCUGAUCCAGCAAUGCCGCGUGUGUGAAGAAGGCCUUCGGGUUGUAAAGCACUUUUGUCCGGAAAGAAAUCCUUGGCUCUAAUACAGUCGGGGAUGACGGUACCGGAAGAAUAAGCACCGGCUAACUACGUGCCAGCAGCCGCGGUAAUACGUAGGGUGCAAGCGUUAAUCGGAAUUACUGGGCGUAAAGCGUGCGCAGGCGGUUNAGACGACUGUGAAAUCCCCGGGCUCAACCUGGGAACUGCAUUGGUGACUGGCAGGCUAGAGUAUGGCAGAGGGGGGUANAAUUCCACGUGUAGCAGUGAAAUGCGUAGAGAUGUGGAGGAAUACCGAUGGCGAAGGCAGCCCCCUGGGCCAAUACUGANGCUCAUGCACGAAAAGCGUGGGGAGCAAACAGGAUUAGAUACCCUGGUAGUCCACGCCCUAAAACGAUGUCAACUAGUUGUUGGGGAUUCAUUUCCUUAGUAACGUAGCUAACGCGUGAAGUUGACCGCCUGGGGAGUACGGUCGCAAGAUUAAAACUUAAAAGGAAUUUGACGGGGGUCAUAGCUG